rnacentral:rRNA from 1 species
AUUGAACGCUGGCGGCAGGCCUAACACAUGCAAGUCGAGCGCGCGGCGGACGGGUGAGUAAUGUCUGGGAAACUGCCUGAUGGAGGGGGAUAACUCCUGGAAACGGUAGCUAAUACCGCAUACCAUCAGAUGUGCCCAGAUGGGAUUAGCUCGUAGGUGGGGUAAAGGCUCACCUAGGCGACGAUCCCUAGCUGGGCUGAGAGGAUGACCAGCCACACUGGGACUGAGACACGGUCCAGACUCCUACGGGAGGCAGCAGUGGGGAAUAUUGCACAAUGGGCGCAAGCCUGAUGCAGCCAUGCCGCGUGUGUGAAGAAGGCCUUCGGGUUGUAAAGCACUUUCAGCGGGGAGGCGUUACCCGCAGAAGAAGCACCGGCUAACUCCGUGCCAGCAGCCGCGGUAAUUC